GCGUGUGUGAAGAAGGCCUGCGGGUUGUAAAGCACUUUCAGUAGAGAAGAAAAGCAUAGGGCUAAUACCUCUGUGUCUUGACGUUACCUACAGAAGAAGCACCGGCUAAUUCCGUGCCAGCAGCCGCGGUAAUACGGAAGGUGCAAGCGUUAAUCGGAAUUACUGGGCGUAAAGCGCGCGUAGGCGGCUGAGUAAGUCGGAUGUGAAAGCCCUGGGCUUAACCUGGGAAUUGCAUUCGAAACUGCUCAACUAGAGUAUGGAAGAGGAAAGCGGAAUUCCCGGUGUAGCGGUGAAAUGCGU
rnacentral:rRNA from 1 species